GUUUUUACCUGGUGAGAAGGUACCUGUGCACUUAUCCAUCUGUAACAGGUAAAUACAUAUUUUUAGUUUUUACUUUUUUUUUUGUCCAGUGACAAAAGAUGAGAACCUGAUGAUCAACUUCCACCAUUCAUUUCGCUCGUCUCUCACAUGUUGUUUCAGCAGAACAUAAGGAUACUGAACUAACAGGUUGGAUGGAGAGAACUCAUAACAAUGUUAUUCCUAUAACUGCAGCAAGCAGCAAAAUUAAG
rnacentral:lncRNA from 1 species